rnacentral:rRNA from 1 species
AGUGAACGCUGGCGGUAGGCCUAACACAUGCAAGUCGAACGGCAGCACAGUAAGAGCUUGCUCUUACGGGUGGCGAGUGGCGGACGGGUGAGGAAUACAUCGGAAUCUACUCUUUCGUGGGGGAUAACGUAGGGAAACUUACGCUCAUACCGCAUACGCCCUACGGGUGAAAGCAGGGGAUCUUCGGACCUUGCGCGAUUGAAUGAGCCGAUGUCGGAUUAGCUAGUUGGCGGGGUAAAGGCCCACCAAGGCGACGAUCCGUAGCUGGUCUGAGAGGAUGAUCAGCCACACUGGAACUGAGACACGGUCCAGGCUCCUACGGGAGGCAGCAGUGGGGAAUAUUGGACAAUGGGCGCAAGCCUGAUCCAGCCAUACCGCGUGGGUGAAGAAGGCCUUCGGGUUGUAAAGCCCUUUUGUUGGGAAAGAAAAGCAGCAGGUUAAUACCCCGCUGUUCUGACGGUACCCAAAGAAUAAGCACCGGCUAACUUCGUG